GUUGCUGCCACGAUCAGUGCCACAGAGACCCUCUCGGAAGAGGAGCAGGAAGAGCUAAGAAGAGAACUUGCAAAGGUAGAAGAAGAAAUCCAGACUCUGUCUCAAGUGUUAGCAGCAAAAGAGAAGCAUCUAGCAGAGAUCAAGCGGAAACUUGGAAUCAAUUCUCUACAGGAACUAAAACAGAACAUUGCCAAAGGGUGGCAAGACGUGACAGCAACAUCUGCGUAUGUUUCCUUGAUCAUACACUUUCCUUGGGAGUGUAAAGGACACUGUUGUGCCUUUUGUCUGGAGAGGGGAAGAAAAAGAGGAUAAGGAUGCUUCAGCAGCUUUUCUUUGGACGACACGGCACCCUUUUUUUCUGAUUUUCAAGUGUGCCUGCCUUUUUUUGUAACUUCAAUUUUUCCAGACCACUUAUUCUAAGGAAUAGAAAGAAAGCUAGCCAGUUGGAGAAAUAAAAUUC
rnacentral:lncRNA from 1 species